CAGCAGCCGCGGGAAUACGAAGGGUGCAAGCGUUACUCGGAAUUACUGGGCGUAAAGCGUGCGUAGGUGGUGGUUUAAGUCCGUUGUGAAAGCCCUGGGCUCAACCUGGGAAUUGCAGUGGAUACUGGGUCACUAGAGUGUGGUAGAGGAUAGUGGAAUUUCCGGUGUAGCAGUGAAAUGCGUAGAGAUCGGGAGGAACAUCAGUGGCGAAGGCGGCCAUCUGGGACAACACUGACGCUGAGGCACGAAAGCGUGGGGAGCAAACAGGAUUAGAUACCCCAGUAGUCCCUGUCUCUUAUAC
rnacentral:rRNA from 1 species